rnacentral:rRNA from 1 species
UACGUAGGGUGCGAGCGUUGUCCGGAAUUAUUGGGCGUAAAGAGCUCGUAGGCGGUUUGUUGCGUCUAUCGUGAAAACCUGCGGCUUAACUGUGGGCUUGCGGUGGAUACGGGCAGACUUGAGUUCGGUAGGGGAGACUGGAAUUCCUGGUGUAGCGGUGAAAUGCGCAGAUAUCAGGAGGAACACCGGUGGCGAAGGCGGGUCUCUGGGCCGAUACUGACGCUGAGGAGCGAAAGCGUGGGGAGCGAACGGG